rnacentral:rRNA from 1 species
AUACGAGUGCCUCAAGCGUUAUGCGGAAUCACUGGGCGUAAAGGGUCCGUAGGUGGCUCUGUUAGUCUCUUGUUAAAGCUCCCCGCUCAACGGGGAAAUCGCAGGGGAAACGGCAGAGCUUGAGAGUGCUAGGGGUGUGCAGAACUCACGGUGUAGGGGUGAAAUCCGUUGAUAUCGUGGGGAAUACCGAAAGCGAAGGCAGCACACUGGAGCAUUUCUGACACUGAGGGACGAAACCCUGGGUAGCGAAUGGGAUUAGAAACCCCAGUAGUCC